ACAAGCUCCGGUGAUAAAAGCUUCUCUACUCCACUAUUACCCCUCUUCAAGCUCUUUACGAGCUCUGGUGAGGUCUUGGGAGAAACCUUGGCAUCACUUUUCUCUAUCCCUUGUUGUUGAGCUGGUUUAGCAUCAAAGUCAAUUUCUAUCGAAAAAUCGAUUCUUCUGGAAGCUAUCAUCCUCUCAGUAUAUCAAGAUUACCAGAAGAAGGGAUCACAAUUUCUAUUUUUGAAGGGGAAGAUGAGAUAAGGCAGAUAAAUUUAGUCUUAAAAGUUCACCAUCCCUUGUUUUACUGGAAGGGGGUGGUGGAUACCAUUACUUCUUACAGUUGGAGCAGCAUUUGCUAAGAGGACAUUACAAGGAUGUGCAAUGAAAUCAUUCAAUAGCAUCAUCUUGAAAUUUCCCAAGAUUGAUGAAAGUUUUACAAAUUGCAAAACUAUUUUCAAGCAAUUUGGAGUAGACCAGAAGGUUCAAUUGUUGAAGGCUACAUUGAGAAGGAAUGAAUUACUUUUUAUUCAAGAUAUUUUGAAGGCUUUAAUACAAGGUUUUGUAAGCUGCCUCACAAUGAUGAUUUUGGAGACCCAGUCAAUGGUCACUCUAUAGGAAAAUCUACAACAUUUACAGUUGAUCCUAUUGAGUGGAAACAAGC